UGCAGUCGACGGCAGCACAGAGGAGCUUGCUCCUUGGGUGGCGAGUGGCGGACGGGAGAGGAAUACAUCGGAAUCUACUUUUUCGUGGGGGAUAACGUAGGGAAGCUUACGCUAAUACCGCAUACGACCUACAGGUGAAAGCAGGGGACCUUCGGGCCUUGCGCGAUUGAAUGAGCCGAUGUCGGAUUAUCUAGUUGGCGGGGUAAAGGCCCACCAAGGCGACUAUCCGUAGCUGGUCUGAGAGGAUGAUCACCCACACUGGAACUGAGACACGGUCCAGACUCCUACGGGAGGCAGCAGUGGGGAAUAUUGGACAGUGGGCGCAAGCCUGAUCCACCCAUAGCGCGUGGGUGAACAAGGCCUUCGGGUUGUAAAGCCCUUUUGUUGGGAAAGAAAUCCAUCUGGCUAAUACCCGGUUGGGAUGACGGUACCCAAAGAAUAAGCACCGGCUAACUUCGUGCCAGCAGCCGCGGUAAUACGAGGGGUGCAAGCGUUACUCGGAAUUACUGGGCGUAAAGCGUGCGUACGUGGUCGUUUAAUGCUGUUGUGAAAGCCCUGGGCUCACCUGAGAACUGCAUGGAUACUGGGCGACUAUAGUGUGGUAGAGGGUAGCAGCACUUCCUGCGUAGCAAUGAAAAUGCGUACAGAUCAAGUAGUAACAUCCAUGGACGAACGCACCUACCUAGAACCAACAACUGACACUGAAGCAACAUAGGCGUGGAGAAGCAAACUAUGAUUAAGAUACCGCUGCUAGUCCACGCCCUAACGAUGGCAAACUGGGAGUGUCGGGUUGCAAGUUGGCACGUCACUAAUCAAAGCUAA
rnacentral:rRNA from 1 species